rnacentral:tRNA from 1 species
GGCUCGGUAGCUUAGUUGGAAAAAGCACUUGUCUAGCGAAUAAGGGUCGUAAGUUCAAAUCUCACCUGAGCUG